GAUGAACGCUGGCGGCGUGCCUAAUACAUGCAAGUCGAGCGAACAGACGAGGAGCUUGCUCCUCUGACGUUAGCGGCGGACGGGUGAGUAACACGUGGAUAACCUACCUAUAAGACUGGGAUAACUUCGGGAAACCGGAGCUAAUACCGGAUAAUAUAUUUAACCGCAUGGUUCAAUAGUGAAAGACGGUUUUGCUGUCACUUAUAGAUGGAUCCGCGCCGCAUUAGCUAGUUGGUAAGGUAACGGCUUACCAAGGCAACGAUGCGUAGCCGACCUGAGAGGGUGAUAGGCCACACUGGAACUGAGACACGGUCCAGACUCCUACGGGAGGCCGCAGUAGGGAAUCUUACGCAAUGGGCGAAAGCUUGACGGAGCAACGCCGCGUGAGUGAUGAAGGUCUUCGGAUCGUAAAACUCUGUUAUUAGGGAAGAACAAAUGUGUAAGUAACUAUGCACGUCUUGACGGUACCUAGUCAGAAAGCCACGGCUAACUACGUG
rnacentral:rRNA from 1 species